rnacentral:rRNA from 1 species
AGAGUUUGAUCAUGGCUCAGGAUGAACGCUGGCGGCGUGCUUAACACAUGCAAGUCGAACGAUGAUGCCAGCUUGCUGGUGGAUUAGUGGCGAACGGGUGAGUAACACGUGGGUAACCUACCUAUAAGACUGGGAUAACUUCGGGAAACCGGAGCUAAUACCGGAUAACAUUUGGAACCGCAUGGUUCUAAAGUGAAAGAUGGUUUUGCUAUCACUUAUAGAUGGACCCGCGCCGUAUUAGCUAGUUGGUAAGGUAACGGCUUACCAAGGCAACGAUACGUAGCCGACCUGAGAGGGUGAUCGGCCACACUGGGACUGAGACACGGCCCAGACUCCUACGGGAGGCAGCAGUGGGGAAUAUUGCACAAUGGGCGCAAGCCUGAUGCAGCGACGCCGCGUGAGGGAUGACGGCCUUCGGGUUGUAAACCUCUUUCAGUAGGGAAGAAGCCGCAAGGUGACGGUACCUGCAGAAGAAGCGCCGGCUAACUACGUGCCAGCCGCCGCGGUAAUUC